GAUGAACGCUGGCGGCGUGCCUAAUACAUGCAAGUCGAGCGAACAGACGAGGAGCUUGCUCCUCUGACGUUAGCGGCGGACGGGUGAGUAACACGUGGAUAACCUACCUAUAAGACUGGGAUAACUUCGGGAAACCGGAGCUAAUACCGGAUAAUAUAUUGAACCGCAUGGCUCAAUAGUGAAAGACGGUUUUGCUGUCACUUAUAGAUGGAUCCGCGCCGCAUUAGCUAGUUGGUAAGGUAACGGCUUACCAAGGCAACGAUGCGUAGCCGACCUGAGAGGGUGAUCGGCCACACUGGAACUGAGACACGGUCCAGACUCCUACGGGAGGCAGCAGUAGGGAAUCUUCCGCAAUGGGCGAAAGCCUGACGGAGCAACGCCGCGUGAGUGAUGAAGGUCUUCGGAUCGUAAAACUCUGUUAUUAGGGAAGAACAAAUGUGUAAGUAACUAUGCACGUCUUGACGGUACCUAAUCAGAAGGCCACGGCUAACUACGUG
rnacentral:rRNA from 1 species